rnacentral:rRNA from 1 species
AUUGAACGCUGGCGGCAGGCCUAACACAUGCAAGUCGAACGGUAACAGGAAGCAGCUUGCUGCUUUGCUGACGAGUGGCGGACGGGUGAGUAAUGUCUGGGAAACUGCCUGAUGGAGAGGGAUAACUACUGGAAACGGUAGCUAAUACCGCAUAACGUCGCAAGACCAAAGAGGGGGAACUUCGGGCCCCUUGCCAUCGGAUGUGCCAAGAGGGGAUUAGCUAGUAGGUGGGGUAAGGGAUAACCUAGGCGACGAUCCCUAGCUGGUCUGAGAGGAUGACCAGCCACACUGGAACUGAGACACGGUCCAGACUCCUACGGGAGGCAGCAGUGGGGAAUAUUGCACAAUGGGCGCAAGCCUGAUGCAGCCAUGCCGCGUGUAUGAAGAAGGCCUUCGGGUUGUAAAGUACUUUCAGCGGGGAGGGAGGGAGUAAAGUUAAUACCUUUGCUCAUUGACGUUACCCGCAGAAGAAGCACCGGCUAACUCCGUGCCAGCCGCCGCGGUAA